rnacentral:rRNA from 1 species
AACGGCCGUACCAUGCUGAAUAUACCGGUUCUCGUUAGAUCACCGAAGUCAAGCAUCAUUGGGCGCGGUCAGUACUUGGGUGGGUGACCGCCUGGGAACACCGCGUACCGCU